rnacentral:misc_RNA from 1 species
CCGAGUUUACAACUCCCAAACCCCUGUGAACAUACCACUUGUUGCCUCGGCGGAUCAGCCCGCUCCCGGUAAAACGGGACGGCCCGCCAGAGGACCCCUAAACUCUGUUUCUAUAUGUAACUUCUGAGUGAAAACCAUAAAUAAAUCA